AGUCGAACGGAUCCUUCGGGAUUAGUGGCAGACGGGUGAGUAACGCGUGGGAAGCUACCUUGUGGUAGGGGACAACAGUUGGAAACGACUGCUAAUACCCUAUGAGCCCUAUGGGGGAAAGAUUUAUCGCCAUGAGAUGUGCCCGCGUUAGAUUAGCUAGUUGGUAAGGUAAUGGCUUACCAAGGCGACGAUCUAUAGCUGGUCUGAGAGGAUGAUCAGCCACACUGGGACUGAGACACGGCCCAGACUCCUACGGGAGGCAGCAGUGGGGAAUAUUGGACAAUGGGGGCAACCCUGAUCCAGCCAUGCCGCGUGUGUGAUGA
rnacentral:rRNA from 1 species